GGUCUGUUAGCUCAGCUGGUUAGAGCGUGGUACUAAUACGUUCACACAAAAGUGUGAUGUUGCCGUAAUGCCAAGGUCACGAGUUCAAUCCUCGUAUGGACCA
rfam:Tilletiaria anomala TBC 951 K437scaffold_17, whole genome shotgun sequence.